CCUACGAGGCGCAGCAGUAGGGAAUCUUCCACAAUGGGCGAAAGCCUGAUGGAGCACCGCCGCGUGGGUGAAGAAGGUCUUCGGAUCGUAAAACCCUGUUGUUAGAGAAGAAAGUGCGUGAGAGUAACUGUUCACGUUUCGACGGUAUCUAACCAGAAAGCCACGGCUAACUACGUGCCGGCAGCCGCGGUAAUACGUAGGUGGCAAGCGUUAUCCGGAUUUAUUGGGCGUAAAGGGAACGCAGGCGGGCUUUUAAGUCUGAUGUGAAAGCCUUCGGCUUAACCGGGGUAGUGCAUUGGAAACUGGGAGACUGGAGUGCAGAAGAGGAGAGUGGAACUCCAUGUGUAGCGGUGAAAUGCGUAGAUAUAUGGAAGAACACCAGUGGCGAAAGCGGCUCUCUGGGCUGUAACUGACGCUGAGGUUCGAAAGCGUGGGUAGCAAACAGGAUUAGAUACCCCAGUAGUC
rnacentral:rRNA from 1 species